GAUUAUGGCUCAGGACGAACGCUGGCGGCGUGCCUAACACAUGCAAGUCGAGCGAUGAAAUCCUUCGGGAUGGAUUAGCGGCGGACGGGUGAGUAACACGUGGGUAACCUGCCUUGUAGAGGGGGAUAGCCUUCCGAAAGGAAGAUUAAUACCGCAUAACAUCUUUUUAUCGCAUGGUAGAAAGAUCAAAGGAGCAAUCCGCUACAAGAUGGACCCGCGGCGCAUUAGCUAGUUGGUGAGGUAACGGCUCACCAAGGCGACGAUGCGUAGCCGACCUGAGAGGGUGAUCGGCCACAUUGGAACUGAGACACGGUCCAGACUCCUACGGGAGGCAGCAGUGGGGAAUAUUGCGCAAUACGGGGGAAACCCUGACGCAGCAACGCCGCGUGAAUGAAGAAGGCCUUAGGGUUGUAAAGUUCUGUUUACGGGGACGAUAAUGACGGUACCCGUGGAGGAAGCCACGGCUAACUACGUGCCAGCCGCCGC
rnacentral:rRNA from 1 species